UGCAUUGUUAUCGUAUUCGUGUUGUGUACUUGUGUGGUGGUGUCGCGUGGUUUGUCUUGUGAAUAGUGUUUUGCUGAGUUAGGUAUUUGUAGAACAAGUGAAUAUUUUAUUAGAAUCAGAACAAGUUUUUAGGGAGUGGUAGUAGUGUACGCAUGUGUGAUUAGAGAUUAACAAGAUUGACUUUAACGCAGUACGUCAGGGUGAAUCUCACACCGAGAUACCCUAUACGGAUAUAUAUUCCUUUGCGGGAAAUAAAUAUAUAUAACUGGUAAGAACUGAAUUCAUUUAAAUCGUUUUAAUCUAUUUUAUAGUAAUUUAUAGCUCAAAUCAUCUUAUGUGAGAAAUUGUAUGUGUGAAUGUUUCAUUUUAGGCCAUCGUCAUUACUACAAUUGGAGUCAUCAUAUAUGUUGGAUCGAAAUAAAAUUAACUGAAACCUGUACCAAGAGUUCUUCUUAUUGUAAGACCCCGUGACACGUCCUUGAUAAAUCUUGAUUUUAUUAUAUCCCCUAAAAUCAGAAAUUAUAUCAAUAGCAUGAAAAGCACCAAACAUGUUCCAAAAAUAUGGCUGUAGUGUUGGUUGACGAGGUCAAGUUGGAUUUAAAUCACCUUUACCCUUAGUUUAGAAUUGACGGCAAGUCUGAGCCGUACUCGCCUAUUAAAUCUUUCCCUUGUGCAACAAGUGACCUCGAAUCAAUAAUCCGAGCUUUAAAUCCAAGAUGCGCAACCGGUCAUUAGUCACUUACAAUAAAUAAACUUUCAUAUGAGGAAGGGCAUCAACAUUUGUGAGAUAAAUACAAUAGGUAUAUCGAAUCAACAUUUGAAAGAAAGUUCAUAUUGUUGAUUAAUAAAACCUCAUUGAUGUAUUUAAAUGUUGAGUUGAAGGCCAUAGCAAGGUAAUUUUUUCUUUUCAUGUAAAAACUUUUAAGUAUAUUCUGACUUAUAAGAAUACAAAAACGGGUCAGCUAAUGAAAGGAGCAUAAUUUGUGUCCAUGGUAAUUCCAACACUUUUGGAAGACCUGAUCACCCAAGAAUAGGUCGAUAUUGUCAAUAUGGAACUCCAACAUCUUUUUGAUAUCAACUAUUGUGGUGUAAAGUGUUGAAAAGUCAUACAUUUUGAUGUUGUUGACUUUGGAAAAGUUUAAAUUGACUAAAAGUAAAGUUUUGAAAUCCACUUAUGAUUUACACCAAAUAUUCCGGCACAAUAAAGCAGAAGUUUCUCCUUCACAAAAGUUAAUAUUUUCGUGAGGAGUAGAGAUAAGGGCAUAAUUUUUUUAUGUAAGUAAAUAAAUUUACAAGUUUUAAAAAGUCAAAUGGACAUUCAUCACUGCAACUGAAUCUCAAUCAACUGUAUGUUUGAACAUUCACCAAUCAAGGUAUUCAGUGGAAAGGCCCACUUUUUAUGGAACAAUAUUAGAUACGAUAUUGUGAUUAAGGAAUAGAUUGCUGAGAAAAUAGCCACAAUUUCAAGUUUAUUAGUUAAUGAAAUACAGCCUUAACUUAGAUUUUUGUUAUAACUCAUCAUACAUUUUAAGUUUAUCAUAUUAAUAGACGAAUUCUAUAUAAGGAAUUCAUUGCAGCGAAUGAUAUUUUCGUGAUUAGGUGAAGUUCGUACAUUUGCAGUGAUUCUAAAAAGUGGUUUGAUUUACAUGUAUUAAAGUCAUCAAUCCAUAAUAUAACAAUGAAAUACUUCCAUAUUUUUUAAUUCAUAUUCUAAUGUGUAUUUCGUAAAAUGUUAAAAUAUCAAUAAUUUUAUACAUGCAACAUAUUCCUCAAAAACAGCCUACAAUGGAUAAAAUCCUGAUCCAUUCCAAUAAGUGGAACAUAACUGUAAAUAACAAAUAAUAGCAUGAAAUCCGCAACUGACAUUGAACGAUGAAAAGAGAAAUUGUUGAACAACACAAAUAAAAGAUUAGUAAUAUGAAUUUCGAAACUAACAAAUACUUUUACCACAACAUUUCACUAGUGUAUAUUGUCCUUCAAUACUUCACAAUCUAAAUGUACAUUAUUUACUUAGAGGGAAUGUGCUCCGUGACACAAAUAAUUUUCAGACAGUACCGAUACAUCAUAUCUGUCAUUGAGUGUUCCAGAAGAUCACGAGUUGAAAUAUUUGGCAGUAACAACAGCAUUAUCUCCCCGUAUGAAAGUUUCAUGGUUGCCUGGUAUAAUUUCAACCUUCAAUUCUCCAGAACACACCUAAAGAGAAG